GACGAACGCUGGCGGCGUGCUUAACACAUGCAAGUCGAACGAAGUGGCGAACGGGGGAGAAAUACGUGGGUAACCUGCCCUCCUUUUUGGGAUAAGACUUGGAAACGGGGUCUAAUACCGAACAAAGGGGGAGGGGAUCGCGGCCUAUCAGCUUGUUGGUGGGGUGAUGGCCUAACAAGGCGGUGACGGGUAGCCGGCCUGAGAGGGUGACCGGCCACGUGGUGACUGACAUACGUCCCAGGCUGCUACGGGAGGCGGCAGUUGGGGAUAUGGCGCAAGGGGCGAGGGCCUGAUGCAGCGACGCCGCGUGGGGGAUGAGGGCUUUCGGGUUGUAAACCUCUGUCGCUAGCGAACGGGUAGGUGGAGAAGAAGCGCCGGCUAACUACGUGCCAGCAGCCGCGGUAAUAC
rnacentral:rRNA from 1 species